GGUUAAGCGACUAAGCGUACACGGUGGAUGCCCUGGCAGUCAGAGGCGAUGAAGGACGUGCUAAUCUGCGAAAAGCGCCGGCGAGGUGAUAUGAACCCUUGACCCGGCGAUGUCCGAAUGGGGAAACCCAGUGUGAUUCGUCACACUAUCGUUAACUGAAUACAUAGGUUAACGAGGCGAACCGGGGGAACUGAAACAUCUAAGUACCCCGAGGAAAAGAAAUCAACCGAGAUUCCCCCAGUAGCGGCGAGCGAACGGGGAGCAGCCCAGAGCCUGAAUCAGUGUGUGUGUUAGUGGAAGCGUCUGGAAAGGCGCGCGAUACAGGGUGACAGCCCCGUACACAAAAAUGCACAUGCUGUGAGCUCGAUGAGUAGGGCGGGACACGUGGUAUCCUGUCUGAAUAUGGGGGGACCAUCCUCCAAGGCUAAAUACUCCUGACUGACCGAUAGUGAACCAGUACCGUGAGGGAAAGGUGAAAAGAACCA
rnacentral:rRNA from 1 species